rnacentral:rRNA from 1 species
GGGUUGUGAGGUUAAGCGACUAAGCGUACACGGUGGAUGCCCUGGCAGUCAGAGGCGAUGAAGGACGUGCUAAUCUGCGAUAAGCGUCGGUAAGGUGAUAUGAACCGUUAUAACCGGCGAUUUCCGAAUGGGGAAACCCAGUGUGUUUCGACACACUAUCAUUAACUGAAUCCAUAGGUUAAUGAGGCGAACCGGGGGAACUGAAACAUCUAAGUACCCCGAGGAAAAGAAAUCAACCGAGAUUCCCCCAGUAGCGGCGAGCGGACGGGGAGCAGCCCAGAGCCUGAAUCAGUGUGUGUGUUAGUGGAAGCGUCUGGAAAGGCGUGCGAUACAGGGUGACAGCCCCGUACACAAAAAUGCACAUAUUGUGAGCUUGAUGAGUAGGGCGGGACACGUGGUAUCCUGUCUGAAUAUGGGGGGACCAUCCUCCAAGGCUAAAUACUCCUGACUGACCGAUAGUGAACCAGUACCGUGAGGGAAAGGCGAAAAGAACCCCGGCGAGGGGAGUGAAAAAGAACCUGAAACCGUGUACGUACAAGCAGUGGGAGCACGCUUAGGCGUGUGACUGCGUACCUUUUGUAUAAUGGGUCAGCGACUUAUAUUCUGUAGCAAGGUUAACCGAAUAGGGGAGCCGAAGGGAAACCGAGUCUUAACUGGGCGUUAAGUUGCAGGGUAUAGACCCGAAACCCGGUGAUCUAGCCAUGGGCAGGUUGAAGGUUGGGUAACACUAACUGGAGGACCGAACCGACUAAUGUUGAAAAAUUAGCGGAUGACUUGUGGCUGGGGGUGAAAGGCCAAUCAAACCGGGAGAUAGCUGGUUCUCCCCGAAAGCUAUUUAGGUAGCGCCUCGUGAAUUCAUCUCCGGGGGUAGAGCACUGUUUCGGCAAGGGGGUCAUCCCGACUUACCAACCCGAUGCAAACUGCGAAUACCGGAGAAUGUUAUCACGGGAGACACACGGCGGGUGCUAACGUCCGUCGUGAAGAGGGAAACAACCCAGACCGCCAGCUAAGGUCCCAAAGUCAUGGUUAAGUGGGAAACGAUGUGGGAAGGCCCAGACAGCCAGGAUGUUGGCUUAGAAGCAGCCAUCAUUUAAAGAAAGCGUAAUAGCUCACUGGUCGAGUCGGCCUGCGCGGAAGAUGUAACGGGGCUAAACCAUGCACCGAAGCUGCGGCAGCGACGCUUAUGCGUUGUUGGGUAGGGGAGCGUUCUGUAAGCCUGCGAAGGUGUGCUGUGAGGCAUGCUGGAGGUAUCAGAAGUGCGAAUGCUGACAUAAGUAACGAUAAAGCGGGUGAAAAGCCCGCUCGCCGGAAGACCAAGGGUUCCUGUCCAACGUUAAUCGGGGCAGGGUGAGUCGACCCCUAAGGCGAGGCCGAAAGGCGUAGUCGAUGGGAAACAGGUUAAUAUUCCUGUACUUGGUGUUACUGCGAAGGGGGGACGGAGAAGGCUAUGUUGGCCGGGCGACGGUUGUCCCGGUUUAAGCGUGUAGGCUGGUUUUCCAGGCAAAUCCGGAAAAUCAAGGCUGAGGCGUGAUGACGAGGCACUACGGUGCUGAAGCAACAAAUGCCCUGCUUCCAGGAAAAGCCUCUAAGCAUCAGGUAACAUCAAAUCGUACCCCAAACCGACACAGGUGGUCAGGUAGAGAAUACCAAGGCGCUUGAGAGAACUCGGGUGAAGGAACUAGGCAAAAUGGUGCCGUAACUUCGGGAGAAGGCACGCUGAUAUGUAGGUGAAGUCCCUUGCGGAUGGAGCUGAAAUCAGUCGAAGAUACCAGCUGGCUGCAACUGUUUAUUAAAAACACAGCACUGUGCAAACACGAAAGUGGACGUAUACGGUGUGACGCCUGCCCGGUGCCGGAAGGUUAAUUGAUGGGGUCAGCGCAAGCGAAGCUCUUGAUCGAAGCCCCGGUAAACGGCGGCCGUAACUAUAACGGUCCUAAGGUAGCGAAAUUCCUUGUCGGGUAAGUUCCGACCUGCACGAAUGGCGUAAUGAUGGCCAGGCUGUCUCCACCCGAGACUCAGUGAAAUUGAACUCGCUGUGAAGAUGCAGUGUACCCGCGGCAAGACGGAAAGACCCCGUGAACCUUUACUAUAGCUUGACACUGAACAUUGAGCCUUGAUGUGUAGGAUAGGUGGGAGGCUUUGAAGUGUGGACGCCAGUCUGCAUGGAGCCGGCCUUGAAAUACCACCCUUUAAUGUUUGAUGUUCUAACGUGGACCCGUGAUCCGGGUUGCGGACAGUGUCUGGUGGGUAGUUUGACUGGGGCGGUCUCCUCCUAAAGAGUAACGGAGGAGCACGAAGGUUGGCUAAUCCUGGUCGGACAUCAGGAGGUUAGUGCAAUGGCAUAAGCCAGCUUGACUGCGAGCGUGACGGCGCGAGCAGGUGCGAAAGCAGGUCAUAGUGAUCCGGUGGUUCUGAAUGGAAGGGCCAUCGCUCAACGGAUAAAAGGUACUCCGGGGAUAACAGGCUGAUACCGCCCAAGAGUUCAUAUCGACGGCGGUGUUUGGCACCUCGAUGUCGGCUCAUCACAUCCUGGGGCUGAAGUAGGUCCCAAGGGUAUGGCUGUUCGCCAUUUAAAGUGGUACGCGAGCUGGGUUUAGAACGUCGUGAGACAGUUCGGUCCCUAUCUGCCGUGGGCGCUGGAGAACUGAGGGGGGCUGCUCCUAGUACGAGAGGACCGGAGUGGACGCAUCACUGGUGUUCGGGUUGUCAUGCCAAUGGCACUGCCCGGUAGCUAAAUGCGGAAGAGAUAAGUGCUGAAAGCAUCUAAGCACGAAACUUGCCCCGAGAUGAGUUCUCCCUGACCCUUUAAGGGUCCUGAAGGAACGUUGAAGACGACGACGUUGAUAGGCCGGGUGUGUAAGCGCAGCGAUGCGUUGAGCUAACCGGUACUAAUGAACCGUGAGG